CCUACGGGUGGCUGCAGUGGGGAAUAUUGCACAAUGGGCGCAAGCCUGAUGCAGCCAUGCCGCGUGUGUGAAGAAGGCCUUCGGGUUGUAAAGCACUUUCAGCGGGGAGGAAGGCGUUAAGGUUAAUAACCUUGGCGAUUGACGUUACCCGCAGAAGAAGCACCGCCUAACUCCGUGCCAGCAGCCGCGGUAAUACGGAGGGUGCAAGCGUUAAUCGGAAUUACUGGGCGUAAAGCGCACGCAGGCGGUCUGUCAAGUCGGAUGUGAAAUCCCCGGGCUCAACCUGGGAACUGCAUUCGAAACUGGCAGGCUAGAGUCUUGUAGAGGGGGGUAGAAUUCCAGGUGUAGCGGUGAAAUGCGUAGAGAUCUGGAGGAAUACCGGUGGCGAAGGCGGCCCCCUGGACAAAGACUGACGCUCAGGUGCGAAAGCGUGGGGAGCAAACAGGAUUAGAUACCCCGGUAGUC
rnacentral:rRNA from 1 species